CAUACAUAUAUAAAGCAAGAAACAACAUGCUCAAUCAGCCACAAGUGAAGAAACAACUUGCUGAUACAUAACCACAUGACAUGAAAAUUUCAUGCAAAUAACUAGUAAUUAUAAUGGAGUCACACUAGAAGCUGCUGCAAAAUGAGUUGGUGUCCAGAACUCUUAUUUCUAGCAAGCAACUGGCUCUCUCUCAUUUAUUCUAACUCACUAGUUGAGAUGGACAGGUGGAGUUCAGGGCUUCUGGGGUGGAUUGUAGUAUGGGGGAGGCUUCUUCUUAUAUGGAGUUGGAGGAGGAGGAGGUUUCUUCCCUUCUGGCUUUUGUGGGGGUAGAGGAGCCUUGAUUGGAGGAGGGUGUUUAGGGUAACUAGGUGUGAUUGGUUUCACAACAGGAGGUAGAGUUGGUGUCUUAGGAUAAGGUGGUGGAAGUGGCUUGGUCACCGGCGUAGGUGGCGGUGAAUGUACAAUAGGAGGCUGAGUGCUUGGUGGUUUGCCAUAAGGUGAGGAUGGUGGUGGCCUCACCACUCUAGGAGGCAGAGUUGGUGGUUUGGGUUUGGGCACUAUUGGUGGUGAUGGCUUGUUAUAAACUGGGGGUGAUGGCUUCUUGAUGGGAGCUGGGGGCUUGUAAAUAGGAGAAGGAGUUGGUGGUUUGGGUUUGGGCACUAUUGGUGGUGAUGGCUUCUUGAUGGGAGCUGGGGGCUUGUAAAUAGGAGAAGGAGUGGGUGGCUUGGGUUUUUCAUUGUACUCAGCUAGAGAUGAAGUGAUGAGAACCACCAGGCCAAACAAUAGCACAAGCAACUUUGAGUAACUCAUGGUGUUUGUGUUUUUGUGAUGGUAUAAGAUCUAGACGGCAUCGUUUGCUAUUUAUAGUGCUCUCAGGCCUGUGUCGGCAAUACGUGUCAAAAGAUCUUGGUCAUUUUGUUUCAUAGUUAACAGUCAAGGAUUUUCAAAUUCAUGAGAAGAAAAGUACGAUUUUUUUGGCUGAAUAAAAGUUUAGAAGAGGGGAGGCUACACCAUCUUAGAGUUAGGACAUAUCAAAGUUUUCUUGAGGAUUUACAGAGGGGGUUUUAGUCUUUUUUUUUUGUUUUUACAGAUUAUCCCCCAAAAAGAAUUUUCGGCAACAGAACCCGAAUCUAAGUCUUGAUAGCAAAGAGAAUGAUCCUUAUCAACUCAACCAACCCUCGUUGACAGAGAAGUAAGAUUUUCAAUUGGUACGGAUGAUUGUUGAUAUAAGUGUUGUUGAUAGAGAAUCCCAAGUAUAAAUGGUAAAUUCUCUUAAUCAUUUGAGCAACAAAUUCUUUAUAAGUAAUUUGACUGAUUGAUUAUUGAUUGCAAUAAUGGUAAGUGUAAAUAAAAAUUGAGUAGUAUUUAAUGGAAAAUGACAUGACAGUAUUUUACUAGUUGAAAAUAGAACCAAGUUGUCGGUGUAGAUAAAAACAAAUGAUUCAGUCUUCCAAAAUGUGGAGAUUUGAAUUUGUGUUCGUCUAGCAUUAAUCUUUUAAAAAGAUUUUGGAUUUUUAUGUGAAUUUAAGUUAAUUUGAGUCUACAUUAUGCGUUCCAUGGUCUAUAUAAUUUAGACUGGUUUAAUUUUCCACAUUGAAUGACUUUUGUAUGUGGACUUUUCCCCCCAUCUUUCUUUAUUAUUGUCCUCUCCUCCGUUGUCGUUAGUUUUGUCACUUAUCAUCCUUGUGGUGUGAUGAUAAUUGGAAACGAGUGUUUCUAUUCUCGUUUCCCAAGCUAUGUUAUUAAAAUCUAACAUGAUUUGCAAAGGAUUCAUUAGGGUAGUAAUUUGGAGUAUUUAUUUCCUCAGGUAAGUUCUGGGUUCGAGUCGUAGUAUCUGUGUAGUGUGUGAGAGUUUAGCAUGCUAUUGCCCCUCUCAAUAGGAAAGGUCCUAAAAAAAAUCUAACAUGGUUUAUAUUGGUAUCAGGACUCUUCCAAUGGGACUACUGAGGGAACUGAGGCCAAGCCAUUGAUAUGUCAGCUUAGCGUUAAUGAAGAAAUAAAUAUAUUUGCUAACCAAGGUGGUAUGGGACUAGUGUGUAAGUAAAUGCCUUCUUCAUUGGGCUAGACUCUGUUAGCAUUAGGCAUUAAAACUUAAUAUCUCUUCCAACGGUGAAAAAAGAUGUAUCACUGAAUCACUAUAGGUACGGUAUUAUUUCACUUUCAUCUUUUACUAUCUAUUUUCAACGUACUAUAUCACUAUUGGAACAAUGCAAAAUUUCUGGAAUCAAUUAGGGAACAAAGGUGUGAAUAUUAUAUCUCCGUUCCCUUUUGUAAUAAAAUAUGUAUAGAGUUGAGCAAUGGUCACAAAAUUCGUUGCUUUCCAAUAGAUUGCUAUUUCAUUUCUGGUUAAAUCGUCUUGUAGUGGAAAAAACUGAGUCUUCAGCAGCCGCGUUUCUUGAUUUCUCUCAUGGAUUUGGUGAAUUUGAUGGCUGCUUGCGGACCAAUUAGCCGAAGGACAUGUGCUCUCUAUCUAACCCCGUCAUAGUCUGUAUAGCUCUACCUAAAAGGUAAAAAUCAGAGAAAGGAGAGAUCGGACUUGCGACCAAAUAUAUAGUGAGACACAUUACAAGAUUCUUGAAAGAUCUUGAGCCUCUCGAUCUAAAUUGGUUUUGAUUUGGAUGUUCAUAUUUUAUAUUCUAUAUAUAUAUAAUAACGUAAUAUAUUUACUAAUCUUGUUUUUACAGAAAAUUGUUAAGGAUUAUUGCAAAACGAAAGUGUAUUUGUUUAUUUGUUUGGGUUAUUCCCACAAUGUUCAUCCCACCGCCGCGUAUUUUGCUUUCUCUAUAGUGGUUAGGUCCAUUCACGUCAAUAUUAUAUUCAAUCUAAUUUUAGCUUUCAAUUACCAGUGUCCACUCGGUUUUCUUGACGUUUUGAUGUCAUGUAUUGGACCCGAAUAUCGGAUAUCAUCUGUCUCUUCCGCUGAUGAAGGGAUAAAUGCCAUCGAAUCAGAAGAUCUUACUUUUCCAAGGGGGCUUUUCUCUUGUCUCCUCCCAAUCUUCGUCGACUAAGAUCUUACUUUUCUUUUUCUUCUUUUAUAUUUCUACCUUCUUAAUCACUGUACGAAGGGAGAAUUUAUCAAAAAUAGCUAAAAUUUGACUCUUAAUUUCAAAAAUGUUAAUUUUUGUAAAAAUUUCAAUAUAACAGAAAACUCACUUAAAUAGAUACAAAUGUCCUUAAAUUUAAAACUUACAUAAACCUAAAAAAGAAACCUUAUUAAAUAAAACUUUGAAAUAUUUCCUCCAAACACUUUUCCAAUCACCUCUAUUUCUUUUUCUCUUUUUUUUUCCUUCUUCCGUUUGUCUCCAGCAUCACUCCCUCUCUUUUCCUUUUUUUUUUUCUUUCUUCUUCUCUCCACAUAUAUAUAUAUAUAUAUAUAUAUAUAUCUAUCUAUCUAUCUCUCUCUCUCUAUCUCUCUCUCUCUCUCUCUCUCUCUCUCUCUGUGCAUAUCUCUAUUCUUCUUCUCUCCCAUUUUCUCCAAAUAAAAUGUAUGUAUUUAUUUGGCAAAAAAAAAAGUAUUUAGAACCAAAAAUUCAGAAAAUGAUUGAAUCAAUGCACAAGUAUAAUUUCCUCCUCUCACCCAAAAAAAAAUAUUUAUUUCACAUAACUUUAAUUCUUCAAAAACUGUCACAAAUUUAGAGGUAGUCUGUAGAACAAAAAAUUCAAUAAAACGAUCUACAUUAAAAAAAUAUAUAAUUAAAUAUUCAUUCAUUACAAUUCAUAAAGUUAAAGAGAAAAAUAUUACACCAGUCCGUCUAUGAGGUAGGAUGAAGUGCAAUUGAAUUCUUGGAAGUUUGUCAAUAAUGGCCAAUUGAACCACAUCUUGAACACUUACGAGUUGAUGGUUCUUCUCCUCGUGAUGGGAUUCUCUUUUCCUCAAGCCUGCCGUGCCUUCUUCGUGUAAUUGGUGGUAGCACAAUUCUAUCUCGUACAUCAUCAAGCACCACCCAAUCUGUUUGAUCCCCAACUAGCCAUAUAGAUUCUGCAUCCGCAAUUACCAAUGAGUUUGUAGUAUAAUAUUUUGAACACAUUGGGUAGCACGAAAUUUGUCAAUGCGUACAUGCAGCACAAGCAUCUUCUGCUACACAUAUGUCAGAAUCAUCAUAUUACUAGACUCAAUAAUUUUCCAAGCCUAUCAGCACUAACCUUUGAUGCAGGCUCAAAGUGAAUUGACGAUAUUAAAUCAUAGCACUUUGAAUAGGGCUCAAGAGUCCAUUAACAGAAAUGUCGCAACUAUGGACAUUAAGUUAGCAAAACCAGAAUUGAAAUUUUAUAAAUAUAGUAUGAAGAAUAAACGAAGAAACGAAGUAACGAAGAAGAAAUUGAACGAAGAACCAAAGAAGAACAGCACUCUACGUACAAAGAUUCUCAAUCUAAUAGGGUUUUGUUUUUUAGGUUUAUGUUGGUUUUAAAUUUAAGGGUAUUUGUGUCUAUUUAGGUGAGUUUUCUUCUAUAUUUGAAAUUUUUUAUAAAAACUAACAUUUUUGAAAUUAGGGGUCAAGUUUUGGCUAUUUUUGAUAAAUUCUCAUACGAAGGAUUAUCUUUUAGGUGUGAACCUUAAAACACCAUUGGAUGAGAUUUAUGAUUCGUGUAGGAAAAAAAAAUCAAAGGAAGAAUGAGGAGAGCGAUGUUGAAGAAUAUUGAAGUCCCACAUCAGAAACUUAACAAAAUAAUCAAAUACUCCAUAUAAUGAAUGAUUCCACUAUUAAUAAUAUCGAGACUUUUUGUAUAAAAUUUCACAACUGCUAAACAAAUGGUUAAAUUAAAGACAAUAUUGAUAUUAUUAGUAGUGGGUCAUGAGUCCCGAAUAAUUCAAGGGUCAUGAGUCCCGAAUAAUUCAAGGGGAUGGUUUGAAAAAUUCAAUCUAAUUCUGGCUUUCAAUUACUAGUAUCCACUCGUUUUUCCUGAUGUUUUGAUGUCAUGUACUGUUUGAUUUUCAAACUAAUUAUGGGAUGGUUUGAAAAAUCAAACUAAUUAUGGGAUGGUUUGAAAAAUCAAACUUAGAGAAAGCAACCCUUACUGCCUAGAAAAAGAAAAAGGUUAGCCGGCCCUAACUUCUCGUUAAGGAUAAAAAUUUGAACCGGCAAAUCAGUGAACCGGAACCGAAUCUGCAUGAACUGGCUAUAUUUAUAUCUAGUUUUUAAUUUAUUUUUACAGAUGUCUUGUUCUCAUUGUUUUUUUUUUUUGACCUUUCCUAUUGAAAGGGGCGAUAACAUAUUAAACUCACACACACAACACGGAUGUCUUGUUAUCAUUGUUGAUUCUAUACAAUUAGUACAAAGUAAUUUAACAAACAAAGCAAUUUUCUAAAACGGUCCUCCUUUUUUCUCCUUCUAUGGUUUGGUCCUCCUAAUCUAUUCACGGCAAUACUUUGGGCACUGAGGUGAUUGAGCAUAGCCAUUGACAAUAAUACAAUUUAAAGUCUUAAACUCUAUACUUAGCUUAGGGUUAAGUAUUCCAUUAGUGGCAGAAUGUUAAGGCUAAAUAUACGCUAUCUUAAAAAGUCAACCACAAUUAUAUAUGUAACGCACUAUAAAUAUAAAAUGGGGUUAAUGACCUAAAUGGUCUUUCAACUAUUGCUCCAUUAUCAUUUUGGUCCACCAACUAAAAUUUUCAAUUCAAACGUCCUCAAACUUUUUAUUUUGUACCAAGAUGGUCCAUCCGUGACAGAUUCUGUUACUUCUGAUCACGCGAUGGCCACGUGACUGAGUUUUGAAGGGUAUAUGCAACUUUUUGAGAAGCUUUAUCGAAGGGUAUCACUAAAAUGGUCCAUCAACUGUUGCUUCAGUAUCAUUUUGGUCCACCAACUAAAAUUUUCAUUUGAACUGUCCUUCUACUUCUUUUUUUUUUCUUUUUUUUUUGUUAUCAAGAUGGUCCUACUAUCAAAGUCCAUCAAUUUUAUUGUUAUUUAAUUUUGUAUUUAUCUUAUUUUAAAAUUUUUAAUUAAUUUAAACAAUAGAGAAAUAAAUAUUACUUUUUAAGUCCAUGUCAUAAAAUAAAAAAAGCCAUGUUGGUGGUGAGAUUCAAUUUUUUCAAUUUUAAAAUUAGGUACAAGUUCCUAUAAUAGUUUCCUUUAAUUUUAAUUAUUAUUUUCUCUUUUAAAAAAUUUGUUAUUAUAUAUAUGUGAUUUUAAUUAAUUUAAACAAUAGAGAUUUUAUUAUUAAUUGUUAGGUCAGUGUCAUAAAAAAAAAAAAGCCAUGUGGCUAGUGAGAUUCAAAUUUUUAAAAUUUUUUAAGUUUUAUAAUAGUUUCCUUGAUACCAAAAAAAAAAAAAAGAGUUGAAGGAUGGUUCAAAUGAAAAUUUUAGUUGGUGGACUAAAAUGAUACUAGAGCAAUAGUUGGGGGACCAUUGUGAUCAAUAACCCUUUUAGAAGAGGAUACUCACCUAAAAAUACGGUUUUGUCCCUCGAUUUCACGGAAUAAUACACAGACUUUGACAGAUGGACCAUCUUGGUACAAAAUAAAAAGUUUAAGGACGUUUGAAUUGAAAAUUUUAGUUGGUGGACCAAAAUGAUAAUGGGAGCAAUAGUUGGGGGGACCAUUUAGGGUCAUUAACCCAUAUAAAAUCGUUAAGGGUAAUGUUAUACUAGAUCCCGAGUCUAUGCAUUUAGAGUCCACGCAUUUACCCGUAUUUGACUUCAUAUCAACCAUUACAAAGAUCCAACGACUUAAAAUAUGAUAGAUCAUUAUUACAUCAUAAAGUUUUAUUUUUCUAACUGACGUUACUGUUACCAUUUCCUCAAAGCCUUUCUCCCUUGCUUGUUCUCUUCCCUCUCUAAUCUCUCUCAAUUUUUGCUUCUCAUGAAUAUCUACUACCCAGCAUCAUAAAUUGAAUUUCCUAUUUUUAGUACAAUUUCAAUCAAUUCCCCCAUUGCCAAUUGGUUUUGGAGUGUAACCUCAACUUCCUUCACUUAUGUCCUCAGGCUCUCUCCAGUUUGUAUUGUUUGCUUUUUGGGUUUUGUGUAGGUGAAGGAAGUUGAUAAUUGAGUCUGAGAGCGUUUAUGGUGGCGAGAAAGCUUUGUUUCAAUGGAUGUUCUUUUUUUGCAAUGUCUGUUGAUUUGGCUUCCUCGUUUUUAGAGAGACAGAGUUAAUGGAAGGACUAAUGUUAGUUUAGGGAAGAAAAAAAAAACUAAAUUUCAUAACCGACACGUGGUAUAAAAUGUAGAGAUGCCAUAUUAUGUGAUAUAAAAAUGUGGUAAGACUAAUAUUAUUGUAACCGUAAUCAUAUGAUUCAAACUUGAAACCUCAUUCAACUAAGUGAAGACAACUACCCAAAAAAUCAUAAACUAAUUGACAUAAAAACUAUUUAUUAUAAACAAAUUUUGAAUCCAUAUUUUCUGUUAAAUAUAGAUGUAGGACUAGGGUUAAGUAUUAAGUUGGAUGAUAUUUUUGUCUUUUUACUAUAAUUAUUCUCUCUGCUGCUACGGGAUGGGUUAAGGCCUCCCUUGCUGCUGUGAUUAAGGUGGAUAAGGUGCAUUCUUUUAUCUAUUGGAAACCUCCUCGCCCUGCUCAGUUUAAACUUAAUGUUGAUGGGUCUAGAUGCACUUCCUCUGGAUGUAUUGGGGCUGGGGUUGUGAUUCGUGAUGCUUAUGGGGGCGGAUUGGUGGUUUUUCAGUGCACCUUGGCCACAGACAUAUCUUGGAUGCUGAAAUUUGGGGGUUAUAUUUUGGCCUUAAGCUUGCUGUGACUAAGGGUAUAAGCUGCCUUAUUAUUGAAAUGGAUGCUGCUGUGGUUGCCCAACUAGUCAAGAAUAUUGAUGGUCUGGCUCACCACCCCUUUGCUUUACUGAUUAAUGUUUGCUGUGCUCUCAUGCAACAAUUUGCAAAUAGUUGCACUCUCCUUCAUAUUUACAGAGAAGGAAAUUGUGUGGCUGACGGUUUGGCAAAUUGGAGUUACAACUUAGACCUGGGUAUCCUUUAUUUUAAUGAAGCUCCAAAUGUGUCAUAUCUUAAUUCAUUAGAUUAUUAGAACGAUGGGUAAAUGCACACUAUCUAAAUGCAGAGGCUCAGAAUCCGCCUAGUUUAAACUUUUAAGCUAUUUAUAUAUAUAUAUAUAUUUUAUAGAGAUGGACCAAUCAUAUUGAAUUAAAAAAUAACUAUAGUAUUUAUGAUUCCCUAAACUAUGGAGUAUGAUUAGAGUUCAAAUUUGGUAGAGAACUCCUAAAAUAACUUUUAUGUGUUUUUAGCUAAAUUUUAGACACACAAAACUGACCACAUUAGCCGACCACCUUAUGUGGCAGCUGAUGUGGUCAUGCCAUAUUUUUAUCUCACAUUUCCAUACCACAUAAUGUGGCAUGUCCAUAUCAUAUGCCACAUCAAUUAAAUCAAUAGAGUGUAUUUUAAUUAAGACAAUUAGAAAAAAAAAUACUGGAAUAAAUCAUAAAAGAAAAGAAAAUAUUAAAUACUUUUAAUUGAUGUGGUUAUCCACCUCAGCUGCCACAUAAGAUGGUAUAAGGAUGUAGUAUACAAAUAUAGUAAGAGUAGCAUUAUUCUUUCAAUAUAGUAAUCAUCGUUUAGAGAAAGAGUAAGGCUACACUUACUAUAUUUUUAUACCACAAUCCUAUACUAUAUGAUGUGGCAAUCCACAUAAUUAAGCUGACACGUUAAUAAAUUGUGAUAAAAGGUAUUUAAUAUAUUAUUAAUAAUAAUAAUUAAUAUAAUAUAUUAUUAAUUCAACAAACAAUUUAGGGUUAAGUCUUUAUUUAUUUAUUUAGUUCGCAUAAUAGGGUUAAGCCUUUUAUUGAUGUUCUAUUAUGUUCGUCUCUUUCUCUUGCCAGUUUUUUGGUCGGCUUGUUAAUAAAUCACCUACUGUUUUUUUUUUUUUUUAAAAGAAAAAGAUUUCAUUCAUAAGCCAAAACGGCAUACAAAGACUGACAUUAAUUCAUUAGCCUCAUUAAUACCUUCAUAGGAAAACCACUUAGGAUAAACCCCAAGGUAGGAAAGAGUACCACCUAUGUCAAUGACUAACAAGAGAGUUUGACCCAGACCACAAAAGACAGUUACAAGAACAGAAAAAAAAAUCCAACUAAACACCAACAGAGUGGACUCAACUGUCAAAAGAAGCCUUCUAUGAAAAAAACUCUUAGUCCUUUGACUGCCCAUGAACUGCAAAAACACACCAAGGAUAGAAACCCAAGAGAGCAUACGGAGGAAGAGCACAAAAAAAUAACAAGAGAGGCCCUGAAAAGCACCCCAACUCAACUUAGAACCUGACAAAGAAACUUCUAUGACCAAACAUAGGUCUUCGGGCAGCGCAGAGCAGAGACGAGCUGCAAAGGAGCAACAUAACAAUGGAAAAUGACAGCAAAACAGAACACAUCCCAACAACUACCAUCAGUGUCUGUCGCUGCCAUCAAAACAUAGACAAAACAUUAGCCACCAGGUAUCACAACGCUCCCGAAAAAAGAUCAAAUCCAGCGUCACUACUGCUGCCGUCAUCGAGACAGAGACAACACCAGCCACUUACACCACUGCAAAAACAACUAAAUAAAACAAACAGACCUAGAUCCAAACAUAUCAAGGCUAAAAACCCAAGAUCUAAUUAGAUUUGGGAGGAGAAGAGGAAGGGGAUAGAAGGGCCAGCAAGAGCCCCUAGGAAAGUGGGAAGAGAGGGAGAGAGGAGGAAAUGGAGGGAAAAAGAUGGGAAAAGAGGAGAUGAAGGGAGAUGAUGGGCAGUGGCCACCUCCCAUAGCUUAGGAAAGGGUGGUUGUCGGCAAGGAGAAAGAGGGAGGGUUUUGGCUAGGGUUUACUUUGCUAUCUCUUUUGCGUAGCAAUAAAUCACCUACCGUAGGAGUUGCAUAAAAUCCGAUUGCAAAUCCUAGAACUCCCAAAAUCAGAUCGAAUCGUGGCUUAAUUAGCAUCUAUAUGGUCAUAAACAGAUGAAAUCAUGGGUAUUGAAAAAUGAUAAUGAUAUAUCAAAUCUCCUAAAAUCAUCCUUGUCGGUAGAGAAGUUUCAGCGUUGUUCAACAAUUGAAGAUGAGGGUAACACAUUUAAUUCAUUAAUGAUAAGAGCAUUUUAAUACAUAUAACUUGUCUUCCCUAAAAUUACUCUUGCUAGCAUUUUAUUUAGCUUACUUUGCAUUAAUUAUGUUGUUUUUGUCAAUUGGGGUGUUUUGGAAGAUUUCAAUAAAAAAAUAAGGAUAUUUUAGUGCUUAUUAUUCUUGAAUUUGCACAUGGCAGCAACUUUGGGGAGCCAGCAGCUAGAGGAAAUCAUUCAUGUGUGCAGCGAAUGAAAGGCAAUAGGAAUUAAAAAAGAUGGCAAGACUUGCUACACCUUCUGACCAAGGAAGAAAACCCACGUGCGCGAGCAGCCAAAGCCAAAGUAAUGUGUGCAGCAACAAAUGAAAAAGAAAAGGAAAAAGUAUAAAGAAUGAUGUUGGCUGACAAAAGAUAUGAAAUUCAAAUGCCAAUAUGCCUACACGUGAUGAGCAGAGAAAGAUGAAGAAAAGAAAGAGGAAUGGCAGCAGCAAGUUGAAGACCAAUUGGAAGACAUAUGAUGUACAGCAGCCAAAAGAAGAAUGAAAAUGAAAAUAAUGAGAAAGAAUGUUGAGCUGCAGCUUACACGUGAAGAAAGCAAAGGAAAGCAUGGGUAUUUGUGUUCAGCCAAAAGAAGAAGGAAUAAAGCGAUGUUGAUGUAAUAUAACCCACGUUGGUGAUGGGUUAAUGGCAGCUGCAAGAGGAUCUCAUUCCUCUAUAAAUACAGAGCAAUGCAAUGGAAGAGGUGUGCAGAAUUUGGGCACCAAAUAGAGAUAGUGUAGUCCAGUGGAGAAAAGACCCUGGGGAGCAGAGAGGCAAGAAACCAGGGGCAUCUGCCAUUUUAGUUUUUCUUUUUUAAGUUUUCAGCUAGUUUAUAGGGAUAAGGAAAAUGCCAAUAUAAUUGGAGAGAACCUUGGGGAGUCGUGAGGCAACGAUCCAAGGGAUUGAUGAUGCAGUUUCUCCUUCUCUUCCAUGUUUUAGUUUUAUUUCUUCUUUGAGUUUUCAUAUUGUUUUUAUUUUCACUUAUAUCUAGCUAAACUCCUUUAUUAAGGUUGAGGGGGAAACACCAUUAUGAAAUAAAGUUUUAGUUUUUAUUUUUCAAUUCCCAACUAUUAUAUUCUUCAAUGUUUAUAAUUUCACUUCACAUGAUUAAUAAAUUAAUUUUCUUUUCACCACUUCGAUCGUGUAUUUGUGGUAGUUCAGAAUUUAAGUUAAUCUAUUAAUGCAUCCUUGAUUUUGUAUUACUAGUAUACACAUAUCUUCGAUCAUUUGUAGUUAAAUAAUAUUUUUCACAUAGGAUGUUCAGAAUUUGUACUUAUGAAGGGAAGGGGAAUUUAUAUAAGAGAAUUUAUAUAAGAUUCAUUAAAAUGCAUGUUUAAUUGAUAUAUCUUGAGAAAGCAGUAAAUUGAUUCCUAGAUUGCUACUCCAGAGAAUUGUUAGAUAGAUAAUUAGAGUUUUAUAGAAUAAUGGCGUGUAAUCUAAAACCUUAGUUAUUUUUCUCAUUCAUUUAAUCCAUUCUAGUUAUUAUUUGCAUUUUUAAUUUUUAUGCUUUAUUUAAUUUUCUUUUCAACCAACAAAUCAACUUUGAAUCAACUAGGUUAGCGAUUGAAUUAAAUUGGGUUGGAUUAGUUUCCAUCAUUUUCACACAAGUAUUAUAAAUUUAAAACAACACAUUUGGGUGGACAACAAGUUUAAAGUAUUUAUAAAAUAAAGCAACAUUAUUUAUAGAGAACCAAUAUGAGUUCUUUCUCUUUUCUUGGAUUUAGGAGCUCCUAAAAGUCUCUCUAUUUUAGAAGGUGGAUAGGGAGCAUGAUUGAAGUUGUAUUUUUCAUAUUCCUCUUUAAAAUUUGUCUAAAGAUAAGGGGAACAAGAUUUGUUAUCCCCAAUUUUCAUGUCCCAUUGUGUUCCUUUUUUAAAAUUUUAACACCUGUCUAAAUAAUUGACAAAACUUUAACACUGUCAAGUUUUAUUCAAAAACCCUAAUAAAUAUAAACAUCGUAAUAGCUCUUCUUCUUCACUUUUAAUCUUCUCUUCACAGCCAAACAUAUCCAAAUUAUCUCAAGGAAGAACCACCACAUAGCUACCAAUGCGAAUCCCUUGUAACCAACCAAAAUCGUUCAUCUUUCCCAUAUGGGAUGAGAUUCAGAAGGUUCUUCAUAGCUUUGAAGUUGAUGACGGCGGAAGAAGACGUAAGCACCUUUGAAAUUGCAACAAAAGCAUACUGCAGAUUUUUCUUGCUAGAAGAUUUGAAAUUAAUGUUUUGUUUUUUGUUUUUUUUGUUUUUUUUUUCACAAAAGAUGGUAUUUCAUUCAACCGAAUUAUGGAAAUAUAUAGAAAAAGAAAAAUACAUUAAAUGUUCGGUAUUUUUUUGCUCAAUUAGUGAUUUUGAUUAAGAUUGAAAAGUAUUAUUUAGACAGGUGUCAAAAUUUUAGAGAAUAAGGAGCUCGCAUUUUCCUUACUUCAAGGCCCAACCUCACUAUUUCAUCUUUGAUCGACGAGUAAUUAUCUAUAUAUAUAUAAAGCAAAAGGUAGAGAAUGGUGAAACAUUUAAAUUACCAGAAAAUGUCCAUAGUUAAUGCAAAUAUUAAGAAUUGAAAUUAUUAAUUAAAUGAGAAUAAUAUGGUAAAUUCACAUUUUUCAUAUUAAAAAAAUUAAAAUUAAAAGAAAAAUCAGAUAAUGGAUCCUAUUUUUAUGAAACACAACUACCCAUUAUUUUUUUUAAUUCUAAAAUAAAUUUAAAUUUAUUGAAAAAAAACCUCUUGCAGGCGCGGAAGCGCUUGUGGAGAGGCUAGUAUUACAAUUAUUAACAUAAUCUAUACCACGUUCCACUAACUUUAUACCACGUCUUUUAAUUUGAUUUUUUCCUCUACUGAUUCAGUGUUACUGUAUAUUACAUAGACACAGUAUCAUUAAUAAUUUGACAAUAUUGUACCGAUAUUUGAUAUAUCGAUCAAAUGUCAAUAAUGUGGUACAAAAUAUUGUAAAUUGUUACCAAUUGGUACGAGUACACCAAUUUACAACACUUGAUACAAUGUUAUUGAUAUAAUUAACAUUGUACUAUGUCAACAAUAUUGUACAAAGUAUUUGCAUGGCGUAAUGUUAUUUGCUAAAGAUAUUUCAAAGAAGCUAACAAGGGCAUUGCUUUGUAAAUCAGUGAUCUCAAGUUCGAACCUUAUGGCACAUUUGUAGUAUGUGCGUGAGAACAGAACAUUUGUAGUAUAGUUGGUCAUCCAAAUAAAAUGAAACCAUAGUUAGCCCAGAUAACAAAACUAUUGUUAAGCACUAACAAAAAGCACCUCCAAACUCAAAUCUUUUCACAAAAGGCAAAAUGAGAACAAAAUCUACAUCAAAUAUUUCAAAAUCAACUUCUCAAACCAAAACAUAACUACAAAAGUGAAAAAAGAAUCUAAUCUAGAAAACACAUACCUCACCAGAUGAAAAACAGAGCUUUGCGUGAGAAGAAGGAAUAUGAGAGAGAGAGGGUGUCAUCAUAGAUGAAGCAAAUAAGGAAUAGGAGAGAGAGAUGGCAUCGUUAUGUCGUCGAUGGAGCGAAGAAGGAAGAUGAGAGAGAGGGCGUCGUCGUCGAUGAAGUUAAUAAGAAAAAUGAGAGAGAGAGAGAGAGAGAGAGAGAGAGAGAGAGAGAGGCUGAGAUCUGGUUUUAAACAAAAGGGUAAAAUUAUAUUCCACCUUUAUAAUUUAGACAGGUCCAAUGAAUAUGGGCCUCUUAUUUAGGCAUAUCCAAAACAAAAUUUGAUUCAUAGGUAUUAAAACCCAAACAAAAAUUUCUCAAAUCCUAAUUAGUAAAGAUUGUAAUGCCUAAUACCUAAUUUUUCUUAACUUUUAGGAUAAUGCUAUAUGGCACAUUUUUAAUACCAUCUCACCUGGCAGUUGAGGUCGACAUUCAACUCAUUUAAAUUAUAUGUAUAUAUUUUUUAAGAUAUCAGUUUCUUAUAAUUUUCAUUAAUUCAAAAACUUAACCCUGGAGACUUUUCAAUUUCAUGUUAUCUGUUGGCCUCCCUAAAUUCACUCUCUUCCUUUGCCGUCGAUUCGCCACAUCUUCUGUCACAUUCCGGGAUCGGCUCCGCCGUAGCAUGAUAUUGUCCUCUUUGGGCCCCCCUCUCUGCCCUAACGGUUUUGUUUCUGGCCCCAACUCGCUUAACUUCAGAGUUCCCAUGACUUCGAAGCCAGUGAGCUCCCAAAAGGCCUCGUGCUAGAUGAAGGUGGG
rnacentral:lncRNA from 1 species